CAGGGUGCUUGCACCGCUGACGAGUGGCGAACGGGUGAGUAAUACAUCGGAAUGUACCCAGUCAUGGGGGAUAACGCUUCGAAAGGAGUGCUAAUACCGCAUACGCCCUGAGGGGGAAAGUGGGGGACCGCAAGGCCUCACGUGAUUGGAGCAGCCGAUGGCUGAUUAGCUAGUUGGUAGGGUAAAGGCCUACCAAGGCAACGAUCAGUAGCGGGUCUUAGAGGACGAUCCGCCACACUGGAACUGAGACACGGUCCAGACUCCUACGGGAGGCAUCAGUGGGGAAUCUUGGACAAUGGGCGAAAGCCUGAUCCAGCAAUGCCGCGUGCGUGAAGAAGGCCUUCGGGUUGUAAAGCGCUUUUGUCGGGGAGGAAAUCCUAACUUCUAAUAAAGGUUGGGGAUGACAGUACCCGAAGAAUAAGGACCGGCUAACUACGUGCCAGCAGCCGCGGUAAUACGUAGGGUCCAAGCGUUAAUCGGAAUUACUGGGCGUAAAGCGUCCGCAGGUGGCUUGAUAAGACAGACGUGAAAUCCCUGGGCUCAACCUAGGAAUUGCGUUUGUGACUGUCUCGCUAGAGUAUGGGAGAGGGGGGUGGAAUUCCACGUGUAGCAGUGAAAUGCGUAAAGAUGUGGAGGAACACCGAUGGCGAAGGCAACCCCCUGGCCUAAUACUGACACUCAUGGACGAAAGCGUGGGGAGCAAACAGGAUUAGAUACCCUGGUAGUCCACGCCCUAAACGAUGUCUACUAGU
rnacentral:rRNA from 1 species